rnacentral:rRNA from 1 species
GGUUAACGCUGGCGGCGUGCCUAACACAUGCAAGUCGAACGGUUCUAAGCGCGAGCUUAGGGAUAGUGGCGAACGGGUAGAGUAAAAGGUAGGAAUCUACCCCUUGGACGGAGAUAGCUACUGGAAACGGUAGGUAAACUUCGAUAAGCCCGAGAGGGGAAAGUGGUGAGACAGCCGAGGGAUGAGCCUACUCUCCAUCAGGUAGUUGGUGAGAUAAAAGCUUACCAAGCCGAUGACGGAUAACCGGUGUGAGAGCAUGAACGGUCACAAGGGCACUGAGAGACGGGCCCUACUCCUACGGGAGGCAGCAGUGGGGGAUCUUGGACAAUGGGCGAAAGCCUGAUCCAGCGACGCCGCGUGGAGGAAGAAGUCCUUCGGGAUGUAAACUUCUGAACUAGCCGAAUAAAAGGCCUGUGGACACACAGGAGAAGAAAGUAGGCUAGGAAAAGUCCCGGCUAACUACGUG